UGCCAGCCGCCGCGGUAAGACGGAGGGGGCUAGCGUUGUUCAGAAUUACUGGGCGUAAAGCGCGCGUAGGCGGCCUGUCGAGUCGGGCGUGAAAGCCCGGGGCUCGACCCCGGAGGUGCGUUCGAGACUGGCGGGCUGGAGUCCGGGAGAGGGGAGUGGAAUUCCCAGUGUAGAGGUGAAAUUCGUAGAUAUUGGGAAGAACACCAGUGGCGAAGGCGGCUCCCUGGCUCGAUACUGACGCUGAGGUGCGAAAGUGUGGGGAGCAAACAGGAUUAGAUA
rnacentral:rRNA from 1 species